rnacentral:piRNA from 1 species
UCAGGUUUGUGUCUCGGCUUGCACUUU